AUUUGNUUGACAAAUUUCCUUACUGACCACCCAAUUUCCAGCGGGAUGGAAACUUCAAGAAGACCUUCCCGAUGAAGAAGUUCUAUUCACUGAAAUCAUACCAUCUUGGAGGCUAUACUUCGAUGGGGCAGCUCGAAGUUAUGGUGCCGGAGCAGGAGUAGUCUUUGUCACUCUACAUGAUCUCGUCAUGCCCUACUCUUUUGCUUUAACAGAGAAAUGUUCAAACAACGUGGCAGAAUAUCAAGCCAUUAUCCUUGGUUCAGAAGCAACGUUAGAUACGGAUAUCCACCAGCUGGAAGUAUUUGGAGAUUCAAAAUUGAUAAUCAACCAACUUUUAACUGAGUAUGAAGUCCAUAAUUCAUACCUAAACCAUAUCAUGAAUAUGCAUCAAUUUUAUGAGACGAUUUGAUUCGGUAAAAAUAAAAUUCAUCCCGAGAAGUGAAAAUAGGGAGGUUGAUGCCUUAGCUAAUUUGGCCGAUGUUUUAGCUAGGUCAGAUAGAGACUUCUCUCCCUCUAUAUCAAUUGCUCAAAGAUGGGUACUUCUGUCAUUGCUAUCCAGUAAUUUGGAAGAAAACAAUAGUAUUGAAGUAGUUGAAGAUGAAGAAAGAAAAUAUUGGAGACAACUAAUAAUUGAUUUUUUUCAACAUCAAAAGCUACCAGAUAAUCCACGGCGAAAAACUGAAAUCAAUAGACGUGCCUCUCGCUUUACCUUUUACAAAGGAACACUUAUCGACGAUCAUUUGAUGGAGUUUUCCUUCGAUGCCUAAGUGAUGAUGAAGUAACACAGGUCAUGGAAGAAGCCCACUCUGGAAUUUAUGGUGUCCAUCAGUCUGGACCCAAACUCUAUUUUCGAAUAAAGAGGAUGGGGUAUUACUGGCCAACUAUGGUACAAAACUCCAUGGAUUAUGCAAGAAAAUAUGAAGCUUGCCAAGUCCAUGCGAAUUUCAUCCGUCAACCUCCGGAACCAUUACAUCUGACAGUAGCUUCAUGACCAUUUGAUGCAUAGGGUCUGGAUGUAAUUGGACCUAUGACUCCAAAGUCUUCAGCAAGGCAUGCAUACAUUUUCAUCGGGACUGACUACUUCUCUAAGUGGGCCGAAGCCGUACCAUUGAAGGAAGUAAAGAAAGAAAAUGUCACAGAUUUCAUUCGCAUCCAAAUCAUUUACCGACAUGGUGUCCCGAGGCAUAUCAUAACCGAUAAUGCCAAGACAUUCUGCAAUAGCCACAUAAACAAUUUAUGUGCUAAGCUUGGGUUUAAACAGUAUAACUCGUCCAUGUACAAUGCAGCAGCCAACGGAUUAGCAGAGGCGUUCAACAAAAUACUAUGCAGACUACUAAAAAACGUUGUCUCCAAUUUAAAAAGAGAUUGGCAUGAGAAAAUUGGUCCAACACAAGCCACUCCUUAUGCCUUAGUAUAUGGAGUAGAAGUUGUAUUUCCUCUGAAGUGUCAAAUCCCGUCACUUCGAAUUGCCAUCCAGGAAGGUUUGACAACUGAAGAAAAUGUCCGUCUUCGAUUGGAAAAGCUAGAAGCUUUGGAUGAGAAGAUGCUAGAAGCACAAAUGCACCUGGAGUACUAUCAAACUCGAAUGGCGAAGUCCUUCAACAAAAAAGUGCGACCAAGAUCAUUUCAAGUUGGAGAUUUGGUACUUUCCGUGCGCCGGCCAAUCAUAAUCACAAGAAAAACAAGGGGCAAAUUUCAAUCUAAAUGGGAUGGUCCAUUUCUUGUUACUCAUGCAUUCACUAACAGAGCGUAAAAGAUCAUCGACAAAGAUAGACUGUAAAUCAGACCUAUCAAUGGAAAAUUUUUAAAGCGUUUUUACGCUUAAGUUCUUAAUUUUUAAAAUUUUGCAUUGAACAAAAAAAUUGUGUUCUUGUAAUGAACUACGUUCGACUUGAUCCCGUUUGGGUACGUAGGCAGCUUGAAUAAAUUAUAAAUUCAGGUUCAGUCACAACUAAUAAAUUCAUUCAAUUUGUUUACCAGUUGCUAUAGUAAAAAAAAAAAAACACAAGAAAUAUGAAAAAGAAAAGUUCCUCCAAAUAAAAAAUAGCAAGUCAAAACUCAUACAAUAUGAUCUUUAAAAAAAAGAUCAGAAAUUCAUGACUUCA
rnacentral:lncRNA from 1 species